UGUUGGUAUGGGAGGAGCAGAGGCUGGACUUGGGCUCCAUAGCCAGAACGUUUGGGCUGGACCCACCAACCCUGAAGCUCAACGGUCACUUUAUCAGCAGAGGGCUCGACCUCAUCGCCUCCUCAGUCACCUGGAAGGCCCUCCUUUCUUUCUUCUCUGCUAGAGGACUCUCAACAGGGGAAAACGACAGCAACCCCAUUGUCGUUGAUGGCAAGCUCUGCAAAGUUGGCACCAAGCGAGGACAUGAACUACACGAGGUCAUUGAUAACAGAGGAAGGGCAGCUUUUGAAGAUGACAGCCUGCUGAUCAAGAGUAAAAAAGAUGAGGAAAAGCAACCCAGGUACAUCAACUGAAAGCAAUGGCAGAAUUGGUAUUUGCUCUUCCAGGAGAAAGCAAUUGUUAGAAGAUGUAAACUUGCUCAAAAAGCUAAAAAUAAGUGAAACUAACCCAGAUAUCCAAGGAAGAAGUAAAAGCGAGUCCAGCAGCAUCUCAGGUGCCCAACUUAGAUGCAGUUAUAUGAGGGGGAAGAUGAAGAGGAAGAGAGAAGAUGAGGCAGUCGUGUCUGCUCCUUACAAAGAGAUUAUAUGAAGCUUCUCAUGUUUGUUUUCAUUUUUUUUUUCUUGGUUCUUCUUUUUCUUUCAUAGUUUGGUUUGGUUUUUAUGCGACUUGAUUUAACUUGUAAAUGAUGAGUAUAAUGUAAGAACAACGAAAAGACUUUUGGUUUGGCAAACCUAAU